GGAGCGACGACAGUGGACUUUUGCAGGAAACAUCAGUUUAAGUUUGAAGAAGUCCGUGAAUUCCAUGAGUCUGGUUUUCCAUAGAGAUGCUGACAGACUGAAGAAUGUGCCUUGAUGGACAGGUGACUCUGCACGAGUGAGCAACUUCCAGCAAAGGCCACAGUGAAUUAGCUACCACCAGAUGGUUGGACAAAGCAAGGAAGGCCAAAGAAAACACGACACCAAACAUUUCAGGAUGAUCCGAAAAACAUCCAUCUUAAAAAAGAUAACUGUAGCUACAGAUUGACAACUGUGUAGCAGGCUGGUAGCAAACUAACACCAAUGCCUGUGAGAUCUGCGAUGGCUAAGACCAGGCUAAGACCAAGCUACAACAUCACAACAACAAAAUUAGGGCCUGAAGGUUGAGUCCACAUUUGGAAAAUCUUAGAACAGAUGGUUGGCAACUAGCAAGGCUGUUGGAGCACCGGAGGCCAAGGACCAGCACCCACAAAAGUGGGUUCCAAAACAGAACACUUGGUGGCUCUUGGAAAAUAUCUAAGAUUCCUCUGGAGAAGGAAACUAGGUUUCUGCUUUUCUGAUUUCACAAAACAGAUAAAUACCGGAGCAAAAAAAAAAAUGAUGAAUGGCACCUUGCCUUUCUGACAGAAGUGAGAGAGCUACUCGGCAGUUUGAAUGUGCAACUUCAAGGAAAGGGGAAGCUCAUCUGAGACAUGCUUUCACGUGUGAAGGCAUUUGAGGUAACAUUGGACCUCCUCAUUAAACAAGUGAAGGCCAUCUCCCAACUACUCAAAAGCCGUUGGCUGAAAAAAACCAACAUUUGCAUUCCCAAACAAAAAGUGUGCGGAUUCACUGGAAAUGUUGCAAGGGGAGUUUUUCAGAUUUAAAGACCUUUGUGCUCAUGAACAGGACAUUCUGCUUUUGCAUAACCCAUUUUCUCUUGACGUCAAAAUUGUUGAUCCAAUUUGCCAGAUGGAACUGGCUGAACUAUAGAAUUGUGACUCUCUGAAAGACACAUUCAAGUCAAGCAGCCUUACUGAUGUCUAUGCAUCCGUCCCCUUCUAAAACAGACGUUUAGUUCAAGGAACCAGGCACUCAAAACGGUAACCAUCUUUGGCAACACCCGUCGUCUGUGAACAGACUUUUUCCAGAAUGAAACUGAAAUCUCCAACCAGAUCCAGACUGAUGAACAUUGGCAUCACUUGUUACGACUGGCAGAGACAAGUACGAAACAGGACAUUGACUUUCUCAUCGACUAAAACCAGGCCCCCACUUCCCAUUGAAUUAGUAGUAUAUUUACGUUGGUUAAAAUUGUUCAUUUUAAAUAUUGUAUUAUUUCAUGUUUUUUUGCGCUACAAAUAAAAGUAUGUGCAGUAUUCA